CUUGCAGCGUUCUCUUUGCCUGCUUGAGCUUGAGAAUAAAGAAAGAUCCUUUCAGACGUGGAUGAUGCACAGAAUGAGAAGUUACUACUCCAGGUGCUUUGGACUACCUCUUCACAUGGUUACUGGCAUGUCUGAGUAUGUUGACCUGUCUCGAGGUUACUGGUGUGCAGUUGUGGCUCAGUGCAAGUCUAACAUUCCAAGAGACAGGAUGUCGGAAGAGUCCUUGUGCAAAUCAAGAAAGAAAAUGUUAGAUUUAGUGCAACGUUGAGUGAUAAAAUGUCUCUCAAAAGAAGGGAAAAAGCCAAAGGAGAUCCAUGAAUUUUGGAACAAGCAGUUUAAGUGGGGUAGAGAGUCCAUUGAAGAAGACCAAACACUGGAUGGCCUGUGGAAGCAACUUCCAAAUAAAUGGGAAAGAAAAUUGAGGAUUUAAUUUUGUCAGACAGACGAAUUAAGGUUUCCUGAAUAGCUUAAGAAAUGGGCAACUCUGCAGGUACGGUUUGGGGAAAAAUAAUUCACAUGGGCACAAGUUUCAGCUGGGCGCCUAGUCGCUUUAUUCCUUGAUGUUCUUAAUGCAGAACUGUAAAACUGCACUAGACAAAGCACCAGUCCCUACUGCACGGCCUGUCGCUCAUAUGUGUAUAUGGCCAGUUUGGGACUUCAGAUGCCCUAACUGGUAUGUCUUUGGAGUUGCAUGGAGCGAGUGCAGGUUUAAACAUGGAUAGUAAGCAGAUGUGGAUUUUGAACUCGGGGUUACUUUUGGAUAGAAUUAAAUGCUUGAUUAACUCUUAGGGCGGAUGUCUACUAUUGUUGAGGGCGCAUGUUGACAAAAGUUGACAUCCUGGGAUAGAGGGCGUCAAUCGGCUGUUAAUGGCGACAAAACUCACUGUUUCGUUAAAGGCAUUCCCCCUCUGCUUGAAGGAAUGUUAGACUCAUUGACUCGUCAUCUAAUCCUUGUGUGUGCGCAAGUUACAAAAUGUAAACAAAGGCAAGAUGAUGACAACAUCUUGCGAGGGAGUGAAGCGAGUGCAAAAAACAAUACUCAGCAGAUGUUUUGUGUAUUAUCACUGACUCGGACUGAUUUUUUCAGAACCUGAUUAUGUUGAGAGUGAUCAGGAGAUCGAGCAAGAGAGUGAGGAACUGACACCAGCUGAUGGGACGCCAGCCGAUGUUGCCACAGCUGAUCGGCUGCCAGCUUAGUGCAUUCGUGCAGCUGAUGCACCUACAGCAAGGUUCGUGUGGCAGGAAUACCCAGACAUUGAUCCGUGGGAGCCAAACUGGCUACCAGGCUUCACAAGACGGCAUGACUUGCUGUUGGACAUGACCGAUUACCAGCCGCUAUACUACUUCAGGCUGUUCUAUCCUGAGACUGCCUUUCAGCUACUGUCAGACAAGACAAACAGGUAUGCAGAGCAAUUUUUCUGAAUUGCGGGUUGCAAUUGCAACGCAUUCUCGUUUUUCAAAGUGGAAACCCACAACAAAAGAUGAGAUGAAGGACUUUGUGUCAUUACAAAUAGAGAUGGGACUAGAUUGGCGAUAUAACUUCAGGGAUCAUUGGUCCAAACGAGCUUUGUCCCCUUGUGGCUUUGGACAGGUAAUGUUGCGUGAUAGGUACAUGCUCCUGCAAAGUUUUAUUCACUUCUGUGACAACCAGAAGCAAAUCCCAAGGGGUGAGCCAGGCUAUAACCCCAUGUAUAAAUUCCAGCCCCUGCUUGACAUUGUGAAAUCAGCACAUAAACAGUUUUAUCAGCCUGGCCAUGAUUUGUCCGUUUAUGAAUCAACGAUAAAAUGCAAGUGACGUCUCUUUCCACCAGUAUAUGCCAGACAAGCCCACAAAGUAUGGCAUAAAGGAUUUUGUACGGGCAGAAGCAAACACUGAUUUCUGCCUGAAAGUAAUCGCGUAUAGAGGAAAGUUUUCCUUUUAAAGAGAGAACUGUCCCCUUGACAAGUCAGGUUGUGCUGGAGAUGCUUCAGGGUUAUGAACAUUUGGGUCAUGUUGUGUACAUGAACAACUUUUAUACAUCACUAGAGUAGGGGAAUUGGAGCUUGUGGCACAGUGAGGGUGAACAGGAGACACAUGCCUUCACAGUUGAUGCCAGACAGGCUGAAGAUGAAAGUGGUGACAACUCAAGUUUUCAUGUAGGUGGAAAACUUGGUGGCAGUGGCAUGACACAUCGUCAAACUGAUGGCUUAUCUCUCUACAGUGUACACUAACAAUAUAUGUGAGAAUUAUUUGUCAAAAGGGAAGCCCAGAAGGUAGGAAGCUGGACAAGCCAGUUGCACUUGAGGAGUAUAACUGUAAAAUGGCCAGAGUUGAUCGACUGGAUCAGAUGCAUGGGGUCAUACGCUUACAGCCAUAAGACCGCCAAAUGGUACCACACUGUACCAUCGCAUGCGUGAGAUUGCACUUACAAAUGGCUAUACAUUGUUCAAACAGGCAAACAGUGACUGCAGCAGAUUUCCGCAAGAAGGUGGUUGACAGCUUGCUGGCAGAGUAUGUUGCGGUGCCUUUGGCAAAGCGUUAAAGGCCAUCACAAAGAGCAGUGCCAGACAGGCUGAGUGCCACUUUCCUGCAACAUAUGAGAACAAAAAUACAAGCCUGACUCUGUUGUGUGCAGCAACAGACAAUUGAAAAGGAGGCACCAGUGCAGCACAUAUUGUUAGCAGUGCAACGUGGCAAUGCAUGCAAUUGGCUGCUUUAAGUGAUAUGUAUGUGAAAUCAUAUAGUAUGCAGGCUAAUACAAAUGCAAGACAGUAACAUUUGCCAAAAAUAUUAUUGUAACCGGUCCCGAGAGAUGUUGGUGACAUUGUGUGUGCCUCAUGUGUUUUGAUGAUUACACCCAGCUUAUUGCGCAGCCUGUAAUCUAAUCUGUAGGUUUCUUCCUAUACAGUAAGAGCAUUUUAUAGAAAGCAAAAUCCGAUAUCUUAAGAUCUUUGAUGUGUAAAAUGCCAAGUUUAGAAAGCUUGCUUUUAAAUAUAAAGAUGAAGAAGCAAGAUUAAAUGUUUCUCCUGAUUUAAAUGAAGGGUUAAAACCCCAGUCAUACAUUAAAUGUGGAAAUACUGCACAGUAUUAUAUAAAGGAAGUGUGAGUAAUGGCUAUGAUAAAACAAGUGACUUGAAUAAGUAGUAAAAUGCCUUUGUUUUUGAUUUCUUGUCAACUGAUUCUUUUUGUAAAUAAAUAUAUUUUUAUAA